GUGAGACCCAGCCCCCAGCAAGUAACAGAUCUGCUGGUGCCUGCUCAGACUCCCACCCGUGAGCAACACAUCCCUGCUGUUUACAAGUUACCCAGUCUGAAGGGUGUUGUUAUAGCAGCCUGCAUGGACUGAGACAAAAUUCACUCUGCAAGAUAUUGGUCAACAGAGUUCAAAAUAGAGAGCCUCAAUCCUGAAUGAACUCAUAGUUUUCUGAAACACCAAAAAAUGCAAACAAUUAUCCUAUUUGUGGCAGGAUAAUUAAGUAUACUUGGAGACAUCAAAGGUAACUUCACUGAGGAGGUGAUAUUUUAUACAGCAACUUGAAGGGGUUCCUGAGGCCCAGCAUCCUCCUCCCCAACUGGACGAGGUGACCAGAGGUCUUGGAUGCAGUAAGUGGGGUCGUACAGCUCUCAAGGUGCGACACCACCUCCUCACGGUGUGUUUGCCCAGGGCCUCAUCUGUGAAAAUGUGAGUGAGCAGCACAAGAUAAUUCCCAUAGUACAAUACCAGCAGUAUCGUGAGUUCAUACAAGAACUGGAGUCCAACCCUAACUCUACCACUUGCCAGUUGUGUGACUGGAACACUGCCAUCCAUGGUCCUGGGUUUCAAUUUCCUCAGCUAUGAACAAGGAACUCUGCAUUCUGUCAAGUGAGUGGAAACAACCUGGAGAAACAAGUCUUCAACAUGUCAGGAAAUGUGCCAACACGUGCAAGUCUUACCACACCUUAUUCUGUUCAAGUUUCCCCAUAUGGAGGGAGGAAUAUUUAUUGGUAAGGGAGAAUUAAUAGGUCCAGUGGACUGCAUUUAUAAUGUGGAAUCAAAGAUUGGAGUCCUGUUCUCAGGGUCUUAUAUAAGCUCCAACACUGCUUUAAGACUUCAUUCCCUCCUCUAUACAAUGUAGAUCAAAAUAGUGCUGAAUUGCUACAAAGAAAAAAGUCAAACAGUGCUGUGAAAAAUGUGAGCUAUCAUUAAUAAUUUAUAUCCCACAUCAAUUUCAAGAAUCUAUGUUCCAUGAGGGCAGGAAUCAUAACCUUCUUUUGUAUCCUGGGGUCCGCAGUAUGUAAAAUGAUGCUCAUCUCAUAGAACAGACUCAAACCAAGUACCAAAAACAGACUUGUCACAUGAAGGAUUGGAUGGAUUGUUUUUUCAAUUGUGUGUAAACAAGGCCGUGUGUGUGUGUGUGUGUGUGUGUGGGAGGAGAGAGACAGAAAGAAGGAAUUGAUCCAAGGAAUGCUAACAGGGUAUGUUACUAGACAUGAAUGAAGGUCUCAAACUCAUCUAAUUGUGCGCUCAGAAAUCGUGUGACCAAAUGCUUCAAAGUCACUGCUAGAACCUAGAGUCCAGAGACAUGAGCAGCUUGGGGUUAUACAGAUGGGAAAUGGCAGGCCUGGGUGGAGAGCUCAGUUCUUCCUGUGGUGUGUGGGAGUGUGGGAGGUGCAGCCAUGGCUAUGAUUCCAGAUAGCGCUCAUCCAUCUCAUUCUGGAGACCCACUGAUUUAAUUGGUCCUUAAGCUAAAGUUAGAAAAACAGUUUAUAAGGAAAUCUUUGUAAAAGAGAAUCACAUUUAUUAUUAUGUAAGUCUUCUGAUUUGCAUACUCAAUGGUCUUUUUGAAUAUUCAUUGCCUUCUGCUAGGUGGAGGCACUUUUGCAGUCUCCAUCUGUGUCCUGUGUCCCCUUCUUCAACACAGACAGCAGUGUUAUGGGGGCUGCCCAUGGAGAACUCUGCAAAGCCCCAGGGCAGUGUUCAUUUAAGAGAAAGGUCCUAUAGCAGCUAUUAACACUUAUUAAUACUGUCAACACUUACUAGAAGUUUUAUUCUCCACUGCAAUGAAAAUGCAAACAGCUGUGAGUUUUCAUUGGCGAGGAGGGAUCUCAUCAGCUGAAGGUUUUGUUUGUGUUGUUAAAGAAUGGAAGGUGACAUUAGGUGAGUACCUACAACCACCUCAUAGGGCAAGUAUUCCAAAUUCCAUUUUGAUAGUUAGCAGACAAUAGCUCAGAAAGUAAUUCUAUCAGAACAGUACUCUAAGAUCUGGCAAUAUAUGGGGUUCCCUAAACAGUGCUUCUCAACCUUUUUUUGCACAUUAGAAUGAUCCAAGAAACUUAAAAACUACUGGGGUCUUACUUUGCUUGUUACUGAUUCAACUGAUCAAGAGUAAGAUUUGCAUACUACAAAUUUUAUAGUUCAAUGAAAUUCAUUAUGUAGUCAAUGUUGAGAACUACUGAUAUAGACAAGGAGUUGACAAACUUUAUUUAUUUAAAAGACAUCUUUUCUGUUCAGUCCUCAAAUACUUCCAACAGCAGAUAUGGGGCCAGGACAAAUCCAGAAGCUAGAUACUCCACAUGGGUGACAGGGACCCAAGUGCUUGAGUCAUCAUCUGUUGUUUCCAGUGUGCAGGCAGCAGGAAGCUGGAUUGGAAUUGGAGAUGGAACUUGAUACCAGGGCACUCCAAUAUGGGGUGCAGGCAUCCCAAGCAGCAGCUUAACUCACUGGGUUAUACCAUCCAACACAAAAGCCUUAAUCUAUGAAGGACAGAGAUGAAAAUUUUUUGCCUUUGCUAUUCUUGUGGUCUCUGUCCCAGCUGCUCAUCUUUGGCACUGUAGCACAAAAACAGCCAAGAUCAUAUGUAAAUGAAUGAGCCUGACUGUGUUCCAAUGAAACUUUGUCUACAACAAACGGCUAUGGCCCACAGCCUGCAGUUUGCUGACCUAAAAGUCUAGAAACUGAAGCCAUCAAACAAGAAUGAGAUGGGUAUGUUUAUGGCCAGGUGACUAUUAUUUUGUGGAAGGAAGCUUGGGUUGGUUAGGGAGAAUAAAGCUGAAGUAAUUCUUUCAGAGCCAAUCUCGAAUAGUAUUAUAAUGAAAAAUUCUGUUUUUUUUUUUUCCCCCAGUGGAAAGUUAAUUUUCUAUUUUAAGAAAGGUCCACUGUGACUAAUAUUAACAUUUUAAAAGACGGAGGCUGCUUUCUGUUCAAGUAAAUGUAUAAGUAAACACACACCACCUUUAUAGCUGAUAUCUUGAGAGCAUUUUACACAAAAGAUUCAUGGUCCACAUCAUAUUUCUGCUUAUGUAUUUGGAGUAAAUACUGGGGCGUGCAUACUCAUAAUCUGUUUCCAUCAUUUUUCAGACUGUUACCUUUGACAAAAAAAGAAUAUUGCAGGAGCAGCCAGGGGUUUCACCGUCCUUGCUGGAAAGGGAAAUGCUUUGCAUUUAACAGUAUAAUUUGAAGUUUCCCAUUUGGCUUAGUUGUUUACAUGUCUCUGCGCUUGCCAGCAUUGGACCAAAGCUUUUUAUGCCUCCUUUGGCAAAGUUGUGACACAGUUUUGCCUUUCUCCUUCCUACUGCAAAUAUAAGCGGACUUCAAAAUAUCUGUGGAAAAAAUAAUUAAAGGUCUAUUUUGAUGCAAACAUAAGUGAAAUCCAUGCAAUUUUUUCUCGAUAUGCUUUUUCCAUGAAAAUCUUGAGGAUACCACAUAAGCCUGGAUUUGUAAAAAUAAUCACCAAAAUAAUAUUAUUUUAAGUUCUAUUUUUCAUGAAUUUUUUGAAAUACCUUCACAUACAACCCAAGGUCUAGACUGGCCUGGUCAGAGCAGGGAGCAGAUGGAGAGGCCAGCACUGAUGGAGAGUGUGUGACAUUUGGCAGGGUACUGUGUUGUCCUGUCAAUACAAGGUGGUGGGGAAGAGCUAAUCACUUGCGAGGUCACAGCCUCCCAGCUUCUGCCCAUCCCAUGCUGAAAGACAGUGGGGUUUCUGCUUCAGUCUCUCCUGUUUGUGGCCACUGCUCCAUCUAUUUCCAAGUUCCUUAUGGUUGCCUUACACUUCACAAUCUCCCACUACCCCUUAACCAGCUAAGUGGGAUUGGCUCUGGCUCUAAAACCCAGUAUAUGGGCCCAAUAAUGAUGAUUAGACCAGGAAUGAUUAGCAAGAACAAUGAUUAAUAAUAACAGUAAUUCUAUGAACAAACACUUUGCACUCUCUGUGUGCACGUCUUGAAGGAACUUUUCCUAUGCACUGUUUUGGCCCUGACCAGGUAAUAGCAGCUUGAAGGGAAGAUAGUUCAAGCAAUCCUUACAGUAGGGAUAACCUGUUAACAGGUAAAUACUCCCUGUACUCCUUGUCACUGCCUGGAAACCUGCUCUGAUUAUUCUUGUGGAAUUCUCUGCCUCUACCUCUGCUCAUGCACCUUUAUCCUGGACAACAUCAAUCAGAUUAAACACACUUGGCCUUGGGUGAAGGCCAGCAUUGAAUCCAGUUUCCAAUUCCAGCAGAGAUACUAUGGGCACAAAAUGCCAUUCCCUACUGGACAUCCAUAACAUAAGGUCAGGCCCACUGAUGAUCCAGUGUAGCCCAGGCCUGAUGCUUUCAUCUUCUAAACAGUGUGAGGUCCUCUGCAUGGCUCAUGUCUGUGCCUGCUUAUCCUUGGCACAGAGAACACCAGGAUGAGGCAGAAUUGCUUGCCACCAUGGCUAAGUGUAGAGACUAAGUAGGGAGGAGGAGGUAUAAUCUUAUCAUCCACAUCAUUACCACUGCCACCAUCACUAUCAAUGGCAUCUUGAUCACUGCCACCAUUAUUACUGUUCCCAUUUCCAAAAGAUCAGCAGCAGCGCAACUAACACUACAACUAUCAUCACCACCACCACCCUCACUCCCACAUGAUCACCGCCUACAACACAACCCCUUCUUUCAUGCCACAACUUUUUGCACAUCUGUUUGUCUUCAGGUAGCAGUUUUUCUUCAUGACAUAGAAUCUUAAAAUGAUCUGAUUAAAGAUGAAGAUAUUGAAAAGUUGGAGAAGGAAGGGGGUUUAUCCAUGGUCACCAGCUCACAAAUGUGGAGCUAGGACUUAAAUCUAGCUCUGUUUGAUACCAGUGCCCAAGAACUUUCCAUAGCAACAAUUCACAUUCAAGUGCUUGCUCUAUGGGAGAUGCUAUUCUAAGCCAGUGGAUUACCUCUUUUAAGCCUAACAACCACCAUGACAAAUGCAUAUACUAUUACUCAAAACAGUCAAAGAAAAUGACACAUAGGAUGAUCAAGUCACUUGGCAAAAGUCUUGGGGCCAUUAGUGUACUUGGUUUCCAGUGCAGACUAUCAGACUCCAGCAUCAGUCUUCCAGAACAGGCUCUCACCUGCCUCUCACAGAUGCUGCCAGGAAGCUUCCCAAUACCUCAGGGACUGUGCCUGAAAGGAGGGGGGAAAACCCAGUGACCCCCGAGAGUCAGGGAUUCCCUAGAGCAGACCUCUGAGAUAAAUUAUGCCAGAGUACACAGGCAUUUAUCAAGCCUGAUAGCAUCCUGGCUUUCUGUGCUAAAGAGACUACAGUUCUUGAAUAAACGUGUUCACCUCCCCCACCUCUGUUUGCCCAGUUGUAGAUUUUGCUUCUUGCAUUCUAAGCAAAGGAGCACACCGAGAAAGCAACUUCUUUGUCAUGCUUUAAAAGCAGAUGAACUUUUUAAAAAGAUACAAUGAAAACUAGAUUUUAGGUGUUAUAUUACCACUAAAAGUAGUAGCAUUUGUUUCACAUUGUUUCAGAGCCAUGGUUUGAAUUGUGGGAGUGAAAGCUGAAGUUGAGUCCCUGGUUAAGGGUCAGUAAGCUACUUGUAAAAUUAAAAAAAAAAUAUGGUUGUUAGUGAAGUUAGUAAAGAUAACUUUUUUUCUAUUUCCCAAAGCUCUUUCCCACUGAGCACAGUGCUUGUGCCAUGAUGGCUCACAGAUCAUCAGCCCUAGGGAUCAAGUGGGUCCCGAGACUCUAGAUCCUUGGUUUUGUGAUCUUGGUUAACCUACAAGAAUUUGCCAUUUGUCAAACAGGGUUAACAGUAAUAUUUAACCCUUAGGCUUGAAACAAAGUGAACGGAUGGUGUUUGAAUUUUUUUUCAAAGACCCCAGGGCUCAGAGGGGCUGGCCUCUGAAUGACCUCAGUGAGCUGGUGGCAGAAGACAUCCUUGGUUCAGGCCCUGGAGCUUCUCCUUGACUCCACCUUGCUGCCGCUAUGUUCAGUCACGCCAUCUGUUUCCUUAGGAAUAAGAGUGCGCAUGAGGCUAACUUGAGCCAGGGUGUGGGUCCCACCCAGGGCCACAGAUGAAGGUGUGGGGGGCUAAUGUGUUCCUCCUCCGUCCACUAAAACCUUUCCACUGCCCUGUAUCCUCCCAAGGGCAUUUUCCCAGCUUUGGUCCCAUGACAGUUCCACACUGUUGAAGGUGUUGCGGAGGCUACAGUUAUUAUACUUAUUAGCAUUUUAUGAGCUUGUUAUUCACCCCUUAAGCUCCUUAAUAUGAAGCAGCACAUUUUAAAAGCACAGCACAUACUUAAUUGAUUCUGAUAUAAAAGGGUUGCUGGACUCCAUGAGUUUUUGUCUUUGCUUCUGAGUCUAUGAUGCAUUAAUGGGGACAAUAUAGAUUUAUGGACUUAGAAGUGGUACAAGACAGCUCAAAUUUUUCUUUCCGGAGAUCAUACAAUUGUGUUAAUUCCAACGGACCUUGCUUCCUGCUAUCAGGAAUGAUGACCUUUGUUUAACCUCUGAAUUUUUUUCUGGCAUAUGCAUCAUAUGCAAGCUCCAAGGGAUUCAAAAGAUCUACUUCACGCGGUGGUAACUCACAUUGCGACUCUAGCACUUUAUCAGCUUUCACUUACAGAAGUUUGUCAAUGGCUUUUCUCAGCUCUUGUGGAGUAAGUUUCUUUGUUUUACAAAAGGCUGCAGCUAAAAGCUAGAAAACUUAUGCUCUAGUUAUGUGACCUGUAAAAUGCAAAUUUAGGCUCUUUCCUGUAACCUGUAAAAUGCAAACAAAGCAUUUGUUCUGGGUGCUUCCAUGUUGUUAGUGGCCACAUGAUUCGAACUCAGGUUCCUUUACUCCCAUUUUCUUGAUAUUUGAAAUAUUACUUAGAAGCAGGUAAAUAUAAGUACAUUAAGAACAUCAAGGAAUAUAAAAGCACAAGAGAUUAUUAUUACUGUCAUUUACUGGGAAAAUAUCUUUUUUUAUUUAUUUAUUUGACAUAGAUCUCCCAUCUGCCAGUUAACUUCACAAAUGCCCACAAUAGCCAGAGCUAGGAACUCAGUCUGGGUAUCUCAUGUGAAUGGCAGGAACUCACAUAAUUGAGUCACUAUCUGGUGCUCCUAGGGUACGCAUCAGUGGGAAGCUGGAAUCAGGAGCAGAGUAGGGGCUCAAAGCUAGGCACUCUGAUACGGGAUGCAGGUGUCCCAACUAACAGCAUUUCUGCUAGAACAAAUCCCUGCUUCUUUCUUGCAUAACAAAAAAUUAGCAACUAAAGCCAAAAUUGUUUUAUUUCAAGUUUAAAAAAUAGUGAUGACUACCCUUGUGACCACCAGUUACUGGCUGCGUAUAUAUUUUCUAACAUUUAAGGGUAGAAGACAGCAGACCAGUAUUCCACAGAUGAUGGGGAUACUGACAAUUUGGAUGUGGCCUGAGAGUUUGAACUCCUGACUUUUCCAAAGGAGAUUUAUGUUCUCCCCUUCCCUCUGUUUCCUGCCAUGGGCAGGGAAGAACUCACAUGGAACACAUUCAAAACAUGUGACCUCCACCUCCCCACUGCAGCCGCAUGUUGAACUAGCUGACCACUUUGUUUCCCAAAUAUUUGCAUCACUUCAAGGAGUAAACAUGCCAAUCACGAUGCUACGAACGGCUCUCCUUUUCUCCUCUUGCCUUCCCUAAGCGUCCCCUUUUAUGUCAAGUCCCAUGCUAGUUAUAGGUUUCCUGAGGCAUCAUUCUCCCAGUUUCAUCAAGGACGCGGGGAUGUCAACCUCCAGUGAUGGUACAAUGAGAGGUGUUUAGGCUGCAAAGCAAGAAUAAAGAAUGAAGGAAUAAAGGCAAGAGUCAGUGAAGUCUGGGUAGCAGAUGGGAUGCUUGACUUGACUUGGGGGAUAUGCAGGCAGUAACUGGAUGUGGGACUGUGGGGCUAACGUGCUUGCUCCAGAGGAAAUGGGGCACCCAGAAGCAGGGAGCUGCUUAAAAACAUGACACAGUCUAAGAAUGGCAAGUUUGGGGGUUUCUUGCAAGACAAGUGCUGAUCUAGGUGUGGGCAAGUGAUAAAACUUGCGAAAUAGGCAGGUAUCAGGUCUUUGAAGGCCAUGUGAGGCUAGCACUUUCACAUGUGGUAGAAAUCCAAUGUUCUGUAGGCAUGGGUAUUGGGAAUCCCAUAGAUGGGAGGAUGAGUUAUACAUCUAAGACCUCAGUUUUCAGGUUCCUUCAUUUCUUUUCUUACACACCGAUAGUAUCAGUGUUUCUCAAAUGCAACUGGUUUAGAGGCUUCAGUCUUUGAAUGCAGGACAUGGGGCAGGUACUGCUGAGUCAGUGCUUCCAUGGCGCUCUUUACGCCAGCCUUUCUCUCUACUCCAGCAUCUUUCCUAAUGGAAAUAACCUCCGCAUCCCGAGUCAGCUUCUCCCUCUUCUAGACAGUGCCUAUCAAAUAAAAAAAUUACUAUAAUUUCUUUAGCUUGGGAAAAAAUUCCUCCUCAAACCCCAUUUUCUUGCAACUAUGCCCCAAUUUCCCCCUUUCCUAAAAACACGAUUUUUUUUUUAAUUUUUUGACAGGCAGAAUUAGUGAGAGAGACAGAGAGAAAGAUCUUCCUUCUGUUAGGUAGGAAGUUAGAUAUGAGCUUAUGUGUAUAUGACAGGCCUAAAGAGAAGAUGUCUAUGACCAGCAUAUGCUGCAUCUCAAAGUCAUCCUGAUAACAUUUCAGGGGCAGCCCGGCAUUCACAUCCUACCCUGCCCCCUUCUACCUGAUAACCUGCCAGGUGGAGGUCUCCGCCCCUUCUGCCUGACAAAUCUUCCACAAUCUCCCAGAUGCAGCCCAGUAUCUGCAUUUCAAACACCCUGCUCUCAGAUCCCCAUUCUCUAGGGGGUCCUGCUCGCCCUUCCCCUGAACCCAGGAUGGUGCCAGCUACGCUUCCUCCUGUCUGAUACCUUCAAGGGAAAACUCAGAUAGGAGCUUCUUAAUAUUUACAGCCAUAAAAUCCUUAACACCCCCCCCCCCGCCUCAACUGGACUGCACACUCAGCCCUCUGCCUCUCUGUUGAGCCGCCCGCCUG